UGAGUUUUGACCUGGCUCAGAACGAACGCUGGCGGCAGGCCUAACACAUGCAAGUCGAGCGAACCCUUCGGGGUUAGCGGCGGACGGGUGAGUAACGCGUGGGAACGUGCCCUUCUCUGCGGAAUAGGCUCGGGAAACUGGGUUUAAUACCGCAUACGCCCUUCGGGGGAAAGAUUUAUCGGAGAAGGAUCGGCCCGCGUCUGAUUAGGUAGUUGGUGGGGUAAUGGCCUACCAAGCCUACGAUCAGUAGCUGGUUUGAGAGGAUGAUCAGCCACACUGGGACUGAGACACGGCCCAGACUCCUACGGGAGGCAGCAGUGAGGAAUCUUGGACAAUGGGGGAAACCCUGAUCCAGCCAUGCCGCGUGAGCGAUGAAGGCCUUAGGGUUGUAAAGCUCUUUCAGUCGUGAAGAUAAUGACGGUAGCGACAGAAGAAGCCCCGGCUAAUACC
rnacentral:rRNA from 1 species